CCCUGCCUUUUGUACACACCGCCCGUCGCUCCUACCGAUUGAAUGUGCUGGUGAAGUGUUCGGAUUGGUUUCGAUUGAUGGCAACAUCGGCCGUUACUGAGAAGAACAUUAAACCCUCCCAUUUAGAG
rnacentral:rRNA from 1 species